AUGAGCUGGCUGUUCCCGCUGACCAAGAGCGGCUCGUCGUCGUCGUCUUCUUCCGUGUCCCCCGGCGGCGGCGGCCUGACCAGCCUCCAGCAGCAGAGGCAGCGGCUCAUCGACUCCCUGAGGACCUCCCACGCCAGCAUAGCUGAAAUACAGAAGGAUGUGGAGUACAGAUUACCAUUCACAGUAAACAAUCUGACAAUAAAUAUUAACAUAUUACUUCCUCCUCAGUUUCCUCAGGAAAAACCGGUCAUCAGUGUUUACCCUCCAGUACGACAUCACUUAGUGGACAGCCACGGAGUCUACAUUUCCUGUCCGUUGCUAAAAAAUUUUACAAUGCACUCAGACCUUGGAAAAAUUAUUCAAAGCUUACUGGAUGAGUUUUGGAAGAAUCCCCCAGUAUUGGCUCCCAGUUCAACAACGUUUCCGUACCUUUACGGCAACCCCGCCGGGAUGGCGCCGUUCGCUCCUCAGGGCUUUCCGUUUGUGCCCCCCUACCCGUCCCCAGAAGCAAACAGACCCAUCACAUCUGGUCCGGUGCCAGACUCCGCGGCAGACCCCGUCCCACCGGCCAAUUCCGCCGCGCCCACCUUCGCUGUUCUCUCCAAGCUGCCACUGCCCGUUCCCACGGCGGACUCUGCCACACAGGUGGGCCAGAACGGGUCCGGGUACAAGAUGCCUGAUGUUCCCGAUGCAUUUCCAGAACUCUCCGAACUAAGCCUGUCCCAGCUGUCGGAUAUGAAUGAGCAGGAGGAGGUUCUGCUGGAACAAUUUGUGAAUUUGCCCUACCUAAAAGCAGUCAUUACAGACAAGGACGGCUUAGUAAAGAGCAUCGAGGAGCUAGCAAGGAAAAACCUCCUUCUGGAGCCCAAUCUGGAGACCAAACGGCAAGCUGUAUUGGACAAGUACACACUUCUGAUGCAGAUGAAGUCUACUUUUGAGAAGAAGAUGCAGCGGCAGCACGAGCUUAGUGAGAGCUGUAGCGCGAGCGCCCUGCAGGCCAGGCUCAAAGUCGCAGCGCGGGAAGCCGAGGAGGAGUCGGACACCAUUGCAGAAGAUUUCCUGGAGGGGAAAACCGAAAUAGAUGAUUUUCUCAGUAGCUUCAUGGAAAAAAGAACUGUAGGUGUGCCACUGUAGAAGAGCCAAAGAGGAGAAGCUCCAGCAGGCGAUGGCAGCAUUGCCAGGCCAGCUGCACACUCCACUCUAGAUUUUCUUUUAAACGUGAAUUUCCAAGAAAUGAGUGAACAGACUGUACCAAGCACAUUUUUUAUAUCUAUGAUUUGCAAAAAAAUGCAUCUCACCCCAAUGGUUGUAUUUGUAGACCAGAGCAACUGUUCAAAUUGCAUACUGAGCUGGGACUGUUUUGUAUAAACUAGGAUGUCUCCUAGGAUCUUUGUUUCAAGAAAUCUUUCUUUACACUCCUUGCACUAAAAAAUGUUCCUUGUAUUUAUUAUUGAUAAAGUCCUGAUCAUAUUUAAAUUUCUGCUGCUAUUCCCAACCUAACUAGAGAUUAAAUUCCUCAGCAUGUCAAUUUUGGUUAUACUUUUUGUUAAAAUUUACUUCCUCUACAGCUGUAUUUUGAAGUUAAAGGAUUGGACUGAUUUCCUUAUAGAAGA